GGACCCGCACAAGCAGUGGAGCAUGUGGUUUAAUUCGAAGAUACGCGCAGAACCUUACCAACACUUGACAUGUUCGUCGCGAGACUAAGAGAUUAGUCUUUUCAGUUUGGCUGGACGAAACACAGGUGCUGCAUGGCUGUCGUCAGCUCGUGUCGUGAGAUGUUGGGUUAAGUCCCGCAACGAGCGCAACCCCCUACUUUUAGUUGCCACCAUUUAGUUGGGCACUUUAAAAGAACUGCCAGUGAUAAGCUGGAGGAAGGUGGGGAUGACGUCAAGUCCUCAUGGCCCUUAUGUGUUGGGCUACACACGUGCUACAAUGGUACUUACAAUGGGAAGCAAAGAGGCGACUCCUAGCUAAUCCCUAAAAUGUACCUCAGUUCGGAUUGUACUCUGUAACUCGAGUGCAUGAAGCUGGAAUUGCUAGUAAUCGC
rnacentral:rRNA from 1 species